CUGACCUCAAGUGAUCCGCCCACCUCGGUCUCCCAAAGUGCUGGGAUUACAGGUGAGAGCCACCGCGCCUGGCCUGAGACCAGCAUUUCUAUCUUUGCUUUACAGAGCAGGCAGGUAGAGCUCAGGGAGGUUCUGGGAGGCUCCACUGUGGCUCUGACUCCGGCUGUGAGAUUCCGCACUGGCCGGGGCCUCUCCCAGGAACCACACUGCACAGGUCAUUGCUGGUUCAGUCCUUCUCAUGUCAAUGCAUUGCCAUUUCCUCGUUCUCAGUGUGUGAACUCCCGUUUGCUCUUACGUCCACUUUGCAUUGCAGAGAAGUGUUAUCAUGAACCAUUUCCCUAACUGUGGACACUGUAUUGUUUUUAUUUUUAAUACCAUAAAUAGCAACAUAGUGAACAUCCUGGUGAAUACGGUUUUAUUCUUGUUUUAGAUUAUUUAAUUAGGAAAAGUUCCCUCAAAGUUCCUUGAUGGCUAUUGCUUCCUUUAUCAUUUUAUUCCACGUUGACUUUUACCAUAGCGUACGGCAGUAUGUGUAGCAUGCUCUCUCACUCACUAGUAACAACCUGGAUUAUUCAUCUUUUAAACUUUGAUCGCCAAAGGGAAACAAAGCCUCUCCUGUCUCCCUCAUCACUUGGAUCCGUGGUGUAGCGGGACAGUGCUCAAAGCUCCGUGCGCCAUCUUUAUUUCCUCCUCUGGGAGUUAUUUGUUCCAAGCAGGAGGCUCAGUAGUGAGUGGGGGCUGAAUGGAGACCUGCAUUCCAGGCCUGGUGUCCUAGGUGACGAGGCCUCCAGCCAGAGCAUCUCUCCUUCCUCACAGCCCAGAUGUCCUUGAACCCAAGGUCACGUCCCUGAAUCUUCUGCCCAUCCUCACCACUGGCCCCUGCGGGUGGUGCAGUGCCCACCUCCUUCUGUGCUCCUGCCCUGAAGCCUGUGUCCCUCCACACAGACGAGGCUGGAGCAUCUUCAGUGAGUCUAUCGCAGGCAACGCGACCGUUUCCUGAUGCCUAUGGUGUGGUCAAAUCCCUCCUUCCACCCCGGGCCUCUGAACUGGAAGGCUGUGGUCAUGCUGGUUCUUGCAGCCCUGAUCUCCCCUUGGGCUCCUGGUGCACCGUCGUGCCUGUCCAAGCCACUCAGCUUCAGGAGGAAGAGGUGUUUGCCCUGCUGGUUCCCUGCAAGAUAUGUAAGUGUGCGUCAGGUGGCAGCUUCCACAUGCAGGCAAGUGCGACCUCACCCACAGUGCAUCCAUGGCACGUGAGCAAAUGUUUCCUUUCAGGCACAGGAGGGCGAUGCCAUAGUCUUUUGAUCUGUCCAGAAAAAAUGCACACUGGAAAAAUGCAAGGUAUUAUGGUUACUUGUAUAAAGCUUCUUACCUGUGCAGAUGGGCCUCAAUAACCAUAAGGAGCAUCAAAUCUAAGGAAGAAACGUUCUCAAUUAAUUCUGAGUUGGAAGUGAAGAGAGAGGAUUUGAUAUCAGAAAGGAUGCCAUAAAAACUGUCAUGUGUAUAUCAUUUAAAAACGGAUGCUGACUCUGGGCUUGAGCCACCAGCCCAGGGAAUGUAGCACCAUUUUCCUGUCACCCACAGCGGAAAUCAGAGAAUGUGAGCAGCCAUUGGGUGCACGCCUGGCAGUGCUGGCUCUGGGGGGCUGCGGGAGAGGAGCCCAGGCUGGAGCUCAGGGUUCCUGGUCCUGGUGCACGCCUGGCAGUGCCGGCUCAGCGGGGCUGCGGGAGAGGAGCCCAGGCUAGAGCUCAGGGUUCCUGGUCCUGGUGCACGCCUGGCAGUGCCGGCUCAGCAGGGCUGCGGGAGAGGAGCCCAGACCUGGACCUCAGGGUUCCUGGUCCUGGCUGCCCCCUGAAAGUGUCCUUGAUCAUGCUGAGGUCCUUGGUAUCACAGGGCAUGCCCUCAGGCUCAUCGGCUCAGGUUCAGGACGUCACUUCCAAGAGCUAGUAUCAUAUCCACAGAACUGGAGCUAGAGCGGAAGCUAUCCCUCUGUAACAGUUUCCCUCUUUGUAAAAUGGGAGUAAAGCCCCUUAAAGCCUUCAUUCUUACCCUGGAAAAUGAUAGAGUUGUACGACUGUAGAAUUCUAGGUCAUUAGCCCCAUGCUAUUGAGGACCUCCUCCUCCUUCCUGCUUUUUACAGAGGAUGCCCCGUCCCCGUCAUCUUCCUCCAGUGCACAGUGUGGAUUAUUUCAUGGGCUCGUCUUUGCCACAUCCAGGCUCUGGUGGCUACUUCAGCCUGUGAUUCUGUCGCUGUUGGGUGUGACCUGCAUAAGCAAAUUGGUCACGGUGGUGUGGCCAUCCAGGCACCUCACUAUCCCAGGCCUCUCCCGAAACCCAUCACCACCCUCGCUGGACCCAAACCCACUCCUCCUUGUGCAUUGUCAAAGACUGCAAUUCUCAAACCAGAACGUCCACACAUCCUGGGUUCCCUUCCUGACCAUGGUGGGCUAUUUAGCAGCAAGUCCUGUUACUCUGUCUCCUUCACUUACCCUCCUGCAGCCUCAGCUGCUUAGGACACCCUUGUCUCCGGCCUGGAGCACCACCAUAGCCUCCUAGGAGGACUCUUCUGGUUUCACUCCCUCAAAUCCAUCACAGAGAGAUCUUCCUGGGGGAGAUGCUUUAAUUUUUUUGUUUUCAUAUUUGUUAUAUUUUUAUUAAUAAAUGAUAGCUAUAUAUAUGUAUGGGGCACAAUGUGUUUCAGCAUAUGUAUAUAUACACAUUGUGGAAUGAACAAAUCAAGCUGAUUAACGUACCUGUCACCUCAAAUGUUUGCCAUUUCUUUAUGGAAGAACAUAUUUAAAUCCUCUCUUAGGGUAUUCCGGUCAAAGGGAACAGUUUCAGAUAGGUAGCAGGAAUCAGCUCUGGUGACCUGUUGCACAAUAUGGUGACUCUAAUAAAUAAUAACAUAUAUUCCUAGUGAAAAUCUUGACCAAGUCACUUCUCUAUUUAGAAUAUUCAGAGGCACUCCGCAGCCCACAGGGUAAGACCCAAACUCCAACUUGAUGCGUGAGCCCUUGAUGCCAGGUACCUGAGCACCUUUGCUGCCUGUGUCUACUAAGCCUCUGCCCCUGCACCCAGCCACCUUCACACACACUCCUGCUGUGCAGCAGCUGCCUCUGGAAUUGGUGAGUGUGGUCAUCUGGACUCAGGUGCCAAUGUUCCCUCCGUUUCACCGACUCACCCAAGCAUCAUGACUUUCAGGGAGCCAUCCAGACUCCUCCUGGCUCUGGGUGGGGCGUACAUCCCUGGUGCUCCUGUGUGCCUCCUCAGUGCUCCUGUGCAUAUCUUCAGUGCUCCUGUGGGCAUCACUGGUGCUCCUGUGUGUAUCUUUAGUGCUCCUGUUCACAUCCCCAGUGCUCUUGUUCGCAUUCUCGGUGCUCCUGUUUGUAUCCCUGGUGCUCCUGUGCACAUCCCUGGUGCUCCUGUGCACAUCCCUAGUGCUCCUGUGCACAUGCCCGGUGCUCCUGUGUGCAUGUCUGGUGCUCCUGUGUGCAUCCCUGGUGCUCUUGUGGGCAUUAUUGGUGCUGCUGUGCACAUCCCUGGUGCUCCUCUGCACAUCUUCAGUGCUCCUGUGUGCGUGUCCGGUGUUCCUAUGUGCAUCCCCAGUACUUCUGUGUGCAUCCCCGUGCUGCUGUGUGCAUCCCCGUGCUGCUGUGUGCAUCCCCGUGCUGCUGUGUGCAUCCUCGGUGCUCCUGUGCACAUCCUGGUGUUCCUGUGUGAGUCAUACACAUUUCCACGGCCACCCCUCUCAGUUGUAUUUUUACUCUCUGCUUCCAUGGUGACUCCUCUAGAUGGAGGAGCCCUCCAGUGUGGAUCCUUGUGUGUGCAGGCUCAGGGAAGUCCAAGCUCAAGGCACCCUUGCUGAAUGAAAUCACAACUUGCUCUCACCUUCCUCAGACCAAAAUCUACCUGAGUCCGAGUUCUCCAGAGAAACAGAUCGAGAAAGAGAGAGAGAGAGAGAGAGAGAGAGAGAGAGAUUUCAGGGAGUUAUUUCACUCCCUCGUGGGGCUGGGAGAUCUGAAGUCUGAAGACCAGCAGGCUGGAAACUCAGCUCUGCCCCCGUCUUUGCCACUGAAUCUGCAGUGUCUAUUGCUGGCCAUGCUCUCCCCACUCCAGAUGCCUUUCGGCCUGCAUUGAGGAGAGAGGCACUGGCCCUGACUGGGGGCUUCCACGUGUGCAGGGGGCCGCCCGCGGUGAGGUCUCUGCAGCAUGACGGGGCUGGAAGCGGGCAGCUUUGUUGUGGUUAUCUAUACAUCUUGUGUUUGGCAGCAGCCAGGCCUUUUCCUGAGCAGUCAAGGUAAGACUGUGUGGCCGUGCCCUGACCACCACCGUUCCUGGAGCUGAGCUUCAGGAGAGAGCUGGGGUCUCUGUGAAUAUUACGUAGACAUUUAUUUAAUCUCAUUUCCAACCUCGCACCCCGCCGACCUCUACUGGGCAUGUGUUCCUGAAAGCAAGCUUUGUUAAGUGUGCUCCCAGCCCACAGACAAAAGGGACUCCCCGUGGCCACCUGAGGCACUCAGAGUUAAACAGAAGCGGUCGGUCAUGGCAGGGUAAGGAAGCGGUCACCCACUCCGUGUCCUCGGGAAGAUGCUGUGGAAGUGUGACCUCCCUCUCUACCAUCAGGCCUGACCAGCUCCUGUCGUUGGUGCUGAGCUAGACCUUGGCUUAAAAUUCCCUAUUGACCACCCACAGGUCACCUGAGGCUGAUGCAGAGAGACUGGCAAUGUCUUGCUUAAAGGCCUUUCAGUCUGGAUCCUGCAACGAACGCCCCCCAAACUCUUACUCCAAACGAUUUGCCUUCAUCAUCUCCCAAUCCUCCACCCCUCCACCUGUGUCUUACACCAAAGGCUGCGUGUCCACAAUCACAGGUUUUUCUAAAAGCAAAAUGUAUUUGCUUUUAGAAAAUAAGGUUCUCCUAUUGCCUCCACAGAUAUCACUGGUCUUUUGUUAACAGCUUCCAUGUCAUUCUGGAUGUCUUACGUCCUCAGCAGUAGCCAGGGCAAGGGAGCCCACGGCCUCCCCACCUCCCACGGCUGCUGGUGCCCAAGUUUGGGAGCCUCUCCAGGUUCUUCAGGGAGUAGAGCUUGAUUUCCAACAGCCCCCGUUUCCCCAGGUGCUUGGACUUCAGCCUUCAGCUCCACGCACCAUCUUUCAGAACUACGUUGGCAACUUUACCUGAUUUUUUUGGUUUGUUUUUGUGUAUUUACAACAUUUUAUUCCAUUAGUUUUCAUUUUAGAGAGGAUUAGGAGAGAGAAGGAAUGAAACUGUGUGAGGCCCACCAUGUUUAACCAGAAGUCCCUGUUAUCUGCUUAAUGACACCUUUCUAGAAGAGGAAUUGCUGGGUCAAAAGCCAUGUGUAUUUCACACGGCGAGUCACGUUAAACUGUUCACCGGAAAAGUGCACUGACUUUUUACCGGGAAGUAAGCGGGAAGAUUGCUUUUGUUUUAUAAAUGCUAUUUUUCUUUUGUAUGAUAAAAGAGACUUAUUUUUGAGGCAAAACAUGAUGACACCGGCAUGUUUUAAUUGGUAUACUUCAUCAUAGAGCAUCAGAAAAAUAAAAUCAGUGUGAUGAGGCAGCAGCCGCAGAAGGCGGCCACUCACUGCAGCCAUUGCCGGCCUGUGCUUUGUGAGCUGGACGGUCCUCUUGCCUCGUUCCAGCCUCAGUCUGCCUAAAAGUGGAUAUUCCAGGCGGGAAAUGUGUCUAGCCUGAUGGUGAAGACUGUCUGGAGGAUGGUUGGUUUUGAGGAGGGCAAUGAUUUUGCAGGAAGGUUUCACAAAAGCAGAAACAUGGUCAGAAUUUGUCCAAGGUGGAUUUCUGCUGUUGCUAAAUUUUCCUGGUGUGCUGGGCAGGACAAUGGUGGGACAGUGAACUUGGAAUAAGAAGAGACACUCAGACUUCCCAAAGUAGAUGAGAGAAACUUUGCUUUUUGCAAGGGAGGGGAAUGGAAGACCCUGUUGCAAUUGUCUUGCUUCACUUUUGCUCAGUGAAGCCAAGUUUGCUCAGGGCCAGCUGUGCUUGUGCAGAUGUGUGUGCUGGGGUGGGGGUCGCCAUUAUUAAUGGCAUAAGGCUGGUGGGGUACAGGCAGGAGCAAGUUAGAAAUGGAAACUCCGUGUCUUCCUUCUGGCAGCCGAUGGCACUGGCUUGCCAAGAAGGUGUGGGUGUCUGGAAAGCAUCCAUGAGGACCAGUAGUCAGGGAGCCAGCAGGAGCAACGGUGAAGAAAGACUGUUGCUUAGGGUCCCCUGGGAUAGACUGCGUUGGGAACUAACUAGGUGGUCCCCGUUGCCAUGGAGACAACCUUCCCUGAAAGCGGUGGGGAAUGGCGAACAGUCCACAAGGGAGAUGCUGACUCAGGCUUCAGAUGGAAUUUCCUGGGAUCCCUCACUUACAUUUUCCGCUCUUUUCUGAGUUCCACUGUUUUCCCUAUUUCUCCUUUGUUUUCUGUUGCAUAUUCUCUCCUUCCGGGGAGAAAGCGUGGGAAGCAGUGAAGAGGUCCUGCUCUGGGGAUGAGAAGCCAGGUUGAAGGAAGACUCGAGCACAGUGGACCUGGCAGGUGGGGUCUCCAGAGAGCCUGUGGCUGUGCAGAGCAGCCACCUCAGGGAUGUGUGCAGAACUGAGUCUGAACACAUGGUCUUUCUGGUGCAUCUGGCUAGAUUGGGACUGUAUUGGUCUAUCUCCCUCAGCAGCCCUGGUCCAAGGAGCACGAUCAGAGGGAUAUAAGCCAGUCACUCCAAGUUGUCAUCUUUCUCUUCACCGUGCCUGGGAGAGGAAGGUAACUGUUUUGGUUUGUUAGAAAAGAAAUACAAACCCAGCAGCCGAGAGAUUUCCCCAAUGGAUAGGCCUGUGUUUGGGAAGGAAAGUUAAAGCCAGUGGAUUUCUAGUUCACUUGUUUUCUCUAAUGAUACAUCAGAAGGGCUGCAGGGUCCAGUUAAUCUGUCCAGUGGCAUUUUUGAGAUGAGGUAGCAGGUGCUCCAGAACCAGAAAGACAGACUGUGGGUGGCCCCUCCGGAGGCUCACUGAGGGUUCUAUGCUACAGAUCUGUGUCCAGCAGGCAAAAGAGCUGGGGUCAGAGCCAGUGAAACACAGGACCAUUCCCUAUUCGGUCUGGCAGCUAUUUGCUGAGACCUAUAACAGAAAAGGUCUUUUACAGAGGUGUAUGAGGUGGGUCCCUUGGCAACUGCUGUAAUGCCUCCAUACUCCCAUCUGGGUCAGAGACUGAAAAGAACUCAAAGAUCACCGAGAGCAGCAUCCUGGGCUGCCAUCCUAGCAAUUCAUCUACAAAGGUUUGCGGAGUGCCCACUCUGUGACAGACACAUCUCUGCAGGAGGAUCGCGGGCGUGGACAUGGGGUGGGAGGGUCCCAGGAUGAGAAGAGUGUACGGCUGUUAGGAGGCUUCAUGGAGAAGCCCACACCUGAGCUGAGUUGGGAAGAAGGAGUCAGACUUGGCCACAGGGAGCGGGGAAGUAUCUGUGUCCUGGAAUGAUUUUGUAGAAGGAGAAGGAACCCAUGUGUUGACUUGGAGCCGUCCUGGAGGGUUACCCUUGGAGGGACCUCAGAAAAGUCUGGUCCCAUGGCGCUCAAACAUGAAUUAUGAACCAUGAAGUCCAACAUAAAAAAUUUAGAAGAUAGCCAGGUGCAGUGGC